rnacentral:rRNA from 1 species
UAUGGAGGGUGCAACCGUUGCUCGGAAUCAUUGGGCGUAAAGCGCACGUAGGCGGACUGUUAAGUCGGAUGUGAAAUCCCUCAGCUUAACUGAGGAAGUGCACUCGAAACUGGCAGUCUUGAAUAUGGAAGAGGGUCGCGGAAUUCCAGGUGUAGCGGUGAAAUGCGUAGAUAUCUGGAGGAACACCGGUGGCGAAGGCGGCAUCCUGGACCGGUAUUGACGCUGAGGCGCGAAAGCCAGGGGAGCAAACGGG